CCCUAAUACAUGCAAGUCGAACGAGAUUAUCCAGCUUGCUGGAUAUGAAAGUGGCGCACGGGUGCGUAACGCGUGAGCAACCUACCUCUGUCAGGGGGAUAGCCCGGCGAAAGUCGGAUUAACACCGCAUGACAUUAUUGAUGUGGCAUCACAUUAUAAUCAAAUAUUUAUAGGACAGAGAUGGGCUCGCGUGACAUUAGCUAGUUGGAGAGGUAACGGCUCACCAAGGCAACGAUGUCUAGGGGCUCUGAGAGGAGAAUCCCCCACACUGGUACUGAGACACGGACCAGACUCCUACGGGAGGCAGCAGUAAGGAAUAUUGGUCAAUGGAGGGAACUCUGAACCAGCCAUGCCGCGUGCAGGAUGACUGCCCUAUGGGUUGUAAACUGCUUUUGUCGGGGAAUAAACCUACGUUUGUAAACGUAGCUGAAUGUACCCGAAGAAUAAGGAUCGGCUAACUCCGUGCCAGCAGCCGCGGUAAUACGGAGGAUCCAAGCGUUAUCCGGAUUUAUUGGGUUUAAAGGGUGCGUAGGCGGUUCUUUAAGUCAGAGGUGAAAGACGGCAGCUUAACUGUCGCAGUGCCUUUGAUACUGAAGAACUUGAAUUAGGUUGAGGAAUGCGGAAUGAGACAAGUAGCGGUGAAAUGCAUANAUAUNUNUAAAACCCCGAUUGCGAAGGCAGCAUUUCCAAGCCUUUAUUACNCUUAUGCNCNAAAACGUGGGGAUNNAACANGAUUAAAUCCCNUGUANU
rnacentral:rRNA from 1 species